rnacentral:rRNA from 1 species
CCUACGGGUGGCAGCAGUCGAGAAUCAUUCACAAUGGGGGAAACCCUGAUGGUGUGACGCCGCGUGGGGGAAUGAAGUUCUUCGUAUUGUAAACCCCUUUCAUGUGGGAGCAAAUUAAAAAGAUAGUACCACAAGAGGAAGAGACGGCUAACUCUGUGCCAGCAGCCGCGGUAAUACAGAGGUCUCAAGCGUUGUUCGGAAUCACUGGGCGUAAAGCGUGCGUAGGCUGUUUCGUAAGUCGUGUGUGAAAGGCGCGGGCUCAACCCGCGGACGGCACAUGAUACUGGGAGACUAGAGUAAUGGAGGGGGAAGCGGAAUUCUCGGUGUAGCAGUGAAAUGCGUAGAUAUCGCGAGGAACACUCGUGGCGAAGGCGGGUUGCUGGACAUUAACUGACGCUGAGGCACGAAGGCCAGGGGAGCGAAAGGGAUUAGAUACCCCAGUAGUC